GAUGUGUUAGGAGAGGCGGAUCGAUGGUUAGAGCACGUGUUGCUUUGUUCAUUUGUUUGUUUGGUUUGGUUUUCAAGACAUGGUUUCUUUGUGUAGGCUUGGCUGCCCUGGAACUCUCUGUAGACCAGACCGGCCUCACACUCAUAGCUCUGUUGGCCUCUACUAGGAUUAAAAGCUUGCUGUGCUCUUAAAUAGCAACUAGAUCUCGUUCCCAGCAGCCAUGGAAGCUCUGUAUCCUCCUGCGGCCCAGCAGGGCAGUGCACAUGUGUGCAUAGGUGUACAUGCAGGCCAGUGUGCACAUGUGUGCAUAGACAUACAUGCAGGCCAGUGUGCACAUGUGUGCAUAGGUGUACAUGCAGGCCAGUGUGCGCAUGUGUGCAUAGACAUACAUGCAGGCCAGUGUGCGCAUGUGUGCAUAGACAUACAUGCAGGCCAGUGUGCACAUGUGUGCAUAGACAUACAUGCAGGCCAGUGUGCACAUGUGUGCAUAGGUGUACAUGCAGGCCAGUGUGCACAUGUAUGCAUAGGUGUACAUGCAGGCCACUGUGUGCAUGUGUGCAUAGGUGUACAUGCAGGCAAAACGUCU